rnacentral:rRNA from 1 species
CCUACGGGAGGCAGCAGUGAGGAAUAUUGGUCAAUGGGCGUAAGCCUGAACCAGCCAAGUCGCGUGAGGGAUGAAGGUUCUAUGGAUCGUAAACCUCUUUUAUAGGGGAAUAAAGUGUGGGACGUGUCCUAUUUUGUAUGUACCUUAUGAAUAAGGAUCGGCUAACUCCGUUCCAGCAGCCGCGGUAAUACGGAGGAUCCGAGCGUUAUCCGGAUUUAUUGGGUUUAAAGGGUGCGUAGGCGGCCUUUUAAGUCAGAGGUGAAAUUCUGUGGCGUAACCAGAGAAUUGCAGUUGAAACUGGGGGGCUUGAGUAUGGUAGAGGGAGGCGGAAUGCGAGGUGUAGCGGUGAAAUGCGUAGAUAUGACGCAGAACACCGAUUGCGAAGGCAGCCUGCCGGGCCAUGACUGACGCUGAUGCGCGAAAGCGUGGGGAUCAAACAGGAUUAGAUACCCUUGUAGUC